GCAUGGUGUGAUUAACCUACUAACCAACCCAGGGCUCGGCCAGGACGCUGUGGCACUCGACGAGAUGCCUGGCCUUCUGUCAACCGACUAAUCCACUAACCUGGCCCGAGCAUGUCCUACUAACCCCGCAGCAGCCAAACCCUACUAACU
rnacentral:lncRNA from 1 species